AAUACUACUAUUGUAAGUACUGCAGUAAAAAUUUACAGAAGUGUUUCUGUUAUCCGCCAAAGACAUGGAUAUGACAAUUCCAACUCUUAUUUGCCACCUCCAAGCUAUCCAAAGGUUCUGGUCCACACCACUGUCCUGUGGUCCCUACAGGGCUCCGGUUCCCUAACACCGAAGGCGCUCUGCACUGCUAGCCACGCUGCAAUCCUUUGCUUCAGGCACUGCGGCAGGUUCUCUCCAUGUCCCCAAAGGCAGUCUCUCCAAACCUCGGUGGUUCUUUUCCUCCCCCCUGCCUUCCCCCACAAGCCAAAUGACCCAGCAGUUAGCGCGCUCCGGGUACGGAAAAGGGGAUGUUUCUUCAGUCCCAAUCGCCCCCAAGUUUCUCGCCAGGGGCGCUGGAGGCUGGGCUCCAAGUUUGCUGGGCGGCAGCUGGGGGGCGCGGGCGGGGGGCGGGAGCCCCGAGUACGGGCGGGAGGGGGAGGAGCAGGCGCGCGGCCUCGCCGCUACCUGGCUCCUUCCAACGCGGCCGCUCGCGGGGUGCGCCGGGGGCUCCGAUGGGAACCGAGCGCGGGGGGCCCGGGACCACACAGGGGAAAAAAAGGAGAGAAAGAGAGAGAAGCAAGCAGAUGCGGCGCAAAGCGGGGCGCAGGACGGCAAGGGGCCGCUUCCAGCCUGAAGGAACUUUUCUUGGAAAGGUGGAGACCCCCGGAGGAGUGCGACUCCCCAAGGGCCCGAUGCCCUGGAGCGAAAAGGCGUUCGCGGGUCAGCCUUGCUGCCAGAAAAUUUAGCAAACUUCGGGCAGAUCCUCCCACCUGGGGCGAGAGCUCUGGCUGGCCUGGGGCUCAGCCCCGGGACCUUUCCUUUCACACUUUAAGAGCCUCAAGGCACUUUUUCCUUGGAAACCAGGCCAGCGCGAGGACAACUUCGCUGAGCUUGGUGCUAGGCUAGAGUCGGAGGCUUUUGAGUUUCCUUUUAAAACAGUAUUAAUGUAAUAAGGAACGCAAUAAAAAGAACAAAGGACAAAUUGGUUCA
rnacentral:lncRNA from 1 species